GACGAACGCUGGCGGCGUGCUUAACACAUGCAAGUCGAACGAGUGGCGAACGGGUGAGUAAUACGUGGGAACCUGCCCUCCUUUUUGGGAUAAGCCUUGGAAACGGGGUCUAAUACCGAAUAAAGGGGGAUGGGCUCGCGGCCUAUCAGCUUGUUGGUGGGGUAAAGGCCUACCAAGGCGACGAUAAGUAGCGGGUCUGAGAGGAUGAUCAGCCACACUGGAACUGAGACACGGCCCAGACUCCUACGGGAGGCAGCAGUGGGGAAUUUUGGACAAUGGGCGCAAGCCUGAUCCAGCCAUGCCGCGUGUGUGAAGAAGGCCUUCGGGUUGUAAAGGACGUUUGUUAGGGAAGCGAUACCUAAAGAAUAAGCACCGGCUAACUACGUGCCAGCAGCCGCGGUAAUUC
rnacentral:rRNA from 1 species